rnacentral:rRNA from 1 species
UGGCUUCUCGCUAUCACUUCUGGAUGGACCUGCGGUGCAUUAGCUUGUUGGUGGGGUAACGGCCUACCAAGGCGAUGAUGCAUAGCCGAGUUGAGAGACUGAUCGGCCACAAUGGGACUGAGACACGGCCCAUACUCCUACGGGAGGCAGCAGUAGGGAAUCUUCCACAAUGGGCGCAAGCCUGAUGGAGCAACACCGCGUGAGUGAAGAAGGGUUUCGGCUCGUAAAGCUCUGUUGUUAAAGAAGAACACGUAUGAGAGUAACUGUUCAUACGUUGACGGUAUUUAACCAGAAAGUCACGGCUAACUACGUGCCAGCAGCCGCGGUAAUACGUAGGUGGCAAGCGUUAUCCGGAUUUAUUGGGCGUAAAGAGAGUGCAGGCGGUUUUCUAAGUCUGAUGUGAAAGCCUUCGGCUUAACCGGAGAAGUGCAUCGGAAACUGGAUAACUUGAGUGCAGAAGAGGGUAGUGGAACUCCAUGUGUAGCGGUGGAAUGCGUAGAUAUAUGGAAGAACACCAGUGGCGAAGGCGGCUACCUGGUCUGCAACUGACGCUGAGACUCGAAAGCAUGGGUAGCGAACAGGAUUAGAUACCCUGGUAGUCCAUGCCGUAAACGAUGAGUGCUAGGUGUUGGAGGGUUUCCGCCCUUCAGUGCCGGAGCUAACGCAUUAAGCACUCCGCCUGGGGAGUACGACCGCAAGGUUGAAACU